GAGCCCUGCUUAAGGAAAUACAUAUGGCCCUCUCAUCAAUACUCAUGCAUUUGCUGCCAUCUAGUGGGAGAGAAGUGCAAUGUCAAGUGUUGGUGUCACUGUAGCGGUUGCUUUCUGAAGACUUCUCACUUUGUCCCGAGUCACUGCCCGCAAACUUCACCCUCCGCUUGGAUUUCUACUUACAGAAGAACUCUCAGGAAACUAUGAUGUCACUGCUGUGUAUGGGCAACCCCAGCAGCUCCUCCAGCAGACACUGCCCCCUUCUGUCUUUCCAGAUGCCACUGACCAAGCUGCCCACCAUCAGACAGGCAGUUCUGGCUGAUGACCUGUCUCCGUCUAUAGCUGAUAGAAACCAACACGGAAUAUCAUUCCAACUGAUACCACUAAUAUUUCUAACUUUACUGAUGAAGAAUAAGAGGGCAGGCUUACCCAAUCUCUCUGAACUGCCUGAAGUGUUCAGUCAAAAUUACAAUUACCACUAGUCACAGGUUCAAUAAGAUGUUCUGCAAAAACAAUACAGAAAUGUUAUUGCUCUCCAAUGAGGUUCUGCCAGUCAUACAGUAUGUUGAAAACCAUUAUCAAGGAAACCUACAGCAUAUGAACACUUUGUGUAGAUCGUKACCUGUUUGUUGAACACCAGUGAU